AGUGAACGCUGGCGGUAGGCCUAACACAUGCAAGUCGAACGGCAGCACGGUAAUAGCUUGCUCUUACGGGUGGCGAGUGGCGGACGGGUGAUGAAUACAUCGGAAGCUACUUUUUCGUGGGGGAUAACGUAGGGAAACUUACGCUAAUACCGCAUACGACCUACGGGUGAAAGCAGGGGAUCUUCGGACCUUGCGCGAUUGAAUGAGCCGAUGUCGGAUUAGCUAGUUGGCGGGGUAAAGGCCCACCAAGGCGACGAUCCGUAGCUGGUCUGAGAGGAUGAUCAGCCACACUGGAACUGAGACACGGUCCAGACUCCUACGGGAGGCAGCAGUGGGGAAUAUUGGACAAUGGGCGAAAGCCUGAUCCAGCCAUACCGCGUGGGUGAAGAAGGCCUUCGGGUUGUAAAGCCCUUUUGUUGGGAAAGAAAAGCAGCAGGUUAAUACCCCGCUGUUCUGACGGUACCCAAAGAAUAAGCACCGGCUAACUUCGUG
rnacentral:rRNA from 1 species